AACGAACGCUGGCGGCAGGCUUAACACAUGCAAGUCGAGCGCCCCGCAAGGGGAGCGGCCGACGGGUGAGUACCGCGUGGGAACGUACCUUUUGGUUCGGAACAACUCCGGGAAACUGGAGCUAAUACCGGAUAAGCCCUAACGGGGAAAGAUUUAUCGCCGAAAGAUCGGCCCGCGUCUGAUUAGCUAGUUGGUGAGGUAACGGCUCACCAAGGCGACGAUCAGUAGCUGGUCUGAGAGGAUGAUCAGCCACACUGGGACUGAGACACGGCCCAGACUCCUACGGGAGGCAGCAGUGGGGAAUAUUGGACAAUGGGCGCAGGCCUGAUCCAGCCAUGCCGCGUGAGUGAUGAAGGCCUUAGGGUUGUAAAGCUCUUUUGUCCGGGAAGAUAAUGACUGUACCGGAAGAAUAAGCCCCGGCUAACUUCGUG
rnacentral:rRNA from 1 species